rnacentral:rRNA from 1 species
UACAGAGGUCUCAAGCGUUGUUCGGAUUCAUUGGGCGUAAAGGGUGUGUAGGUGGCGCCGUAAGUCGGGUGUGAAAUUUCGGAGCUUAACUCCGAAACUGCAUUCGAUACUGCGGUGCUUGAGGACUGGAGAGGAGACUGGAAUUCAUGGUGUAGCAGUGAAAUGCGUAGAGAUCAUGAGGAAGACCAGUGGCGAAGGCGGGUCUCUGGACAGUUCCUGACACUGAGACACGAAGGCCAGGGGAGCAAACGGGGAUUAGAAC